CGCGUAGGCGGUUUGCUAAGUUGAAUGUGAAAACUCUGGGCUUAACCCAGAGCCUGCAUUCAAUACUGGCAGGCUAGAGUUCUGGAGGGGGAUAGCGGAAUUCCUGGUGUAGCGGUGAAAUGCGUAGAUAUCAGGAGGAACACCGGUGGCGAAGGCGGCUAUCUGGACAGAGUCUGACGCUGAGGCGCGAAAGCUAGGGGAGCAAACAGGAUUAGAUACCCUGGUAGUCCUAGCCCUAAACGAUGGAUACUUGCUGUGACUGGGAUUGAAUCCAGUCGUGGCGAAGCUAACGCAUUAAGUAUCCCGCCUGGGGAGUACGGUCGCAAGGCUGAA
rnacentral:rRNA from 1 species